rnacentral:rRNA from 1 species
ACGGGGUGCAGCAGGCGCGAAACCUUCACAAUGCUCGAAAGAGUGAUGAGGGUACUCCGAGUGUCUAUGCUUUGCAUAGUCUUUUCUUCAUCGUAAACAGUUGGAGGAAUAAGGGCUGGGCAAGACCGGUGCCAGCCGCCGCGGUAACACCGGCAGCCCAAGUGGUGACCGUUUUUAUUGGGCCUAAAGCGUUCGUAGCCGGAUAGGCAAGUCUUUGGGUAAAUCCUACGUCUUAAGCGUGGGAAUUCUAAGGAUACUACCUGUCUUGAGGCCGGGAGAGGCUAGAGGUACUUCUGGGGUAGGGGUAAAAUCCUAUAAUCCCAGGGGGACCACCGAUGGCGAAGGCAUCUAGCUGGAACGGGCCUGACGGUGAGGAACGAAACCCAGGGGAGCGAGCCGGAUUAGAUACCCGGGUAGUCCUGGGCGUAAAUGAUGUGGGCUUGGUGUGAGGGCAUCGAUGUGGUGCCCUUGUGCCGUAGGGAAGCCGUUAAGCCCACCGCCUGGGGAGUACGGUCGCAAGGCUGAAACUUAAAGGAAUUGGCGGGGGAGCAC